UACAUAGUUUAAGUUUGAUUCGUGAAUUUUCUUAGCGGGUGGUAGAAGUUCAUGUUGGAUAGGAAUUCCGAAAGCUACUUUCGAUUUUAAAGUACAUACGUUUAUUAACAUUGGAAGGAUAUAUUAAGUGGAUCAACCACCACAAUAAUGGGUGCAUUGCAAAGCACAAUCUCAGAAUCCAGUUAUGAAAAUUUUGCUAGUCCAAGAUCCAGUACGAGUUUCCUUCCGAAUAUUUUUAACGCGUGGCGAGAAGAACUUCUUUUAGUAACAGAUGAAAAGGAUAUUCUUAUCACAUCAACUGAGCUCAUGAGCAAGAAUCAAGAAACAGUCGGUUACAAUGAGGAUAUCAAACUUGUUACUGCGUAUAAAGUGCCUCUGUCGGGAUAUCAAUGUUCAAAAAACAUUUUUUACCAUAUGUUCGUGGUAUUUCAAACGCAAAAUUGGUGGUGGUCAAUUGAAAAAGAUACUGACCUGAUAACUCUGCAGCGCUUUAGAAAUGAAUCGGACGUGAAGAAACGUUACAAAAACACAACUCGAAAUUCUUGGAUAACCGAAAUAAAGCGUGACGGAAGCAUUAAAAAGGUUCAAGACCUUAUAAACUGGUUGCAUGAAAAUGAUGAGCUUAAACAAGACUUUCAUUGGUUUCACCGAAAUAGUCAACACUUUGGGUUCUCUGUAUUCAAUUUUCUGUCAAGGACUGAAACACUUUAAGAAAAGGUAAAACAACAUAACCGAUGGAGCUUAAUUUGAAUUAUGUAUCGUUUUAAAACAAUACAAAUCGAGUGAUUCUUAACAUGAUCGCUAACAUGGGC